rnacentral:rRNA from 1 species
UACGUAGGCAGCAAGCGUUGUUCGGAGUUACUGGGCGUAAAGGGUGUGUAGGCGGUUGGAUAAGUGUGGUGUGAAAUCUCCCGGCUUAACUGGGAGGGUGCGCUACAAACUGUCUGACUAGAGUAUGGGAUGGGAGAGUGGAAUUCCUGGUGUAGCGGUGAAAUGUCGUAGAUAUCAGGAGGAACACCGGUGGUGUAGACGGCUCUCUGGACCAUUACUGACGCUGAGACACGAAAGCGUGGGUAGCAAACAGG